rnacentral:rRNA from 1 species
GUUAGGAAUAUUGGACAAUGGGCGCAAGCCUGAUCCAGCCAUGCCGCGUGAGUGAUGAAGGCCUUCGGGUUGUAAAGCUCUUUAGCCGAUGAUUAUAAUGACUGUAGUCGGAAAAUAAGCCCCGGCUAACUUCGUGCCAGCAGCCGCGGUAAUACGAAGGGGGCGAGCGUUAGUCGGAAUCACAGGGCGUAAAGCGUGCGUAGGCGGCUUUGCAAGUUGGGAGUGAAAGCCCAGGGCUCAACCCAGGAAUUGCUCUCAAAACUGCAAGGCUCGAAUUCGGGAGAGGAUAGCGGAAUUGUCAGUGUAGCAGUGAAAUGCGUAGAUAUUGACAGGAACACCAGUGGCGUAAGCGGCUAUAUGGACCGAUAUUGACGCUGAGGCACGAACGCGUGGGGAUCAAACAGGAUUAGAUACCCGUGUAGUCC